GUAGUGGUAGAGGAAUUGGUCAACUCAUCAGGCUCAUGACCUGAAGACUGCAGGUUCGAAUCCUGUCCCCGCCU
rnacentral:tRNA from 1 species